rnacentral:rRNA from 1 species
CCGAAAGGCGUAACGAUUUGGGCACUGUCUCAACGAGAGACUCGGUGAAAGCAUAGUACCUGUGAAGAUGCAGGUUACCCGCGACAGGACGGAAAGACCCCGUGGAGCUUUACUGUAGCCUGAUAUUGAAAUUCGGCACAGCUUGUACAGGAUAGGUAGGAGCCUUUGAAACGUGAGCGCUAGCUUACGUGGAGGCGCUGGUGGGAUACUACCCUAGCUGUGUUGGCUUUCUAACCCGCACCACUUAUCGUGGUGGGAGACAGUGUCAGGCGGGCAGUUUGACUGGGGCGGUCGCCUCCUAAAAGGGAACGGAGGCGCCCAAAGGGUCCCCCAGGAUGGGUGGAAAUCAUUCCUAGAGGGGAAAGGCAAAAGGGGGGUUGACUGCGAGACCUACAAGUCGAGCAGGGGCGGAAGACGGGCUUAGUGAUCCGGGG